ACAGAAACAUUGUCCCCAAAUUGGGUGUGCCUAAAUUACAACACGCUGAAGCGUUCUGUGGACUGGUAGAUCAGUGAGUGGCAGAGGACUGGCCCCAAGUUUGGGUUAGCACCCAAGCCACAAAGCAGUGACAGAUGUACAUGAAGACUGGGACACCUGGCUGGGUCUGACCCCCAUGAACUUCACAGCAAUUUGUCUCAUGCUGUGCCAGACCUUUGCUUAAUGUGGUCAUUCUUCUCAGCUGAGCCCACACUGACAUUGCUGUACUGCGUCCCUUCUUGAGCCUGCGCUGAGACAUCGCUCCUGUGUGGACCUGCUCUGUGUGCCACAGACUGAGGGUCCCUCUGAGGCAAAACCUUCCAAGUGCCCUGGAGACACCAAGCUGGACACAGUCAUAGUCAAGUGACACUGUGUGCUCCACGUUCAGCAGAGGAUCAGAUCAGAAAAUGCUGUGAGAUGUGAGUGCCCAGGUGUGAAAGGCUGGGGGCCACUGGUUCGGGAACACUGCCUGCAUCGGGAGACAGGUGCCCUCUUCUGGACGGUGCAAACAUACGACCUGUGCGGGCUGCUGGAUCCCCUGCUUCCGUGAAUACCUGUACAUACGCUCCUGGCUAAAUGCACACAAGCACAAAACCCAGGUACAUAAGUCUGUGUAAAUGUAUAUAUGACACACAUCUUUCUGAUGACCCACAUAAAUUGUACGUAGAUGGUUACCUGUAAUGAUGACGUUUGAUGUAUUACGUGAAUGUUUAUGGAAGUUUGUGCUUUUUACGACAUACGCAUAUGUGUAUUAGUUCUGCAGAAGACUAUGUAAUGUCCACAUGUGCUAGAUUUUAUGAGCCAUGCAAAAACAACACUGAAAUGAGUAAGUGUUCAAAGCUGUAGGAAAAGUAUUUCAACCGAGUGGAAAAAACAGUGACAAACCUGCACAAGUUUAUAUGGAUGGCUUUGUAGGUUCUUUAGGGGUCCUGCCUGCUCAGCUCAUCUAAUCUUUCCAUAGAAUAUGACCAUUUUUGUUAACUAUUUGCAGUGUCCUAGCAUCUAAAUUCUUAAACAAUCUGACAUUGCCUUUGUUGCAGAAACAGGAAGGGAAUCUACAAACUGCCCUGAAGAGCUCACAGUUGAUGGUAUGGAGUGUUAAAACCACACUAUAUGCUGAAAUGUAAAACUUCAGGUCCCAAGAUUACCUUUCAUUUGGAAUGGGUCCAUUUACCCCCAGGAAUGAAAUGAGAAAUAACACAGAUUUGGAAUAACCUAAUAAUUUCAAUUUGACUAUGUUGAUCACCUCAUGCAUGCAUGGGAAUAUGAACAAAGAUACAUAAAUGCACCCUGGGACAUACUGAUGCAUAUGCACAUAAGCACAUUAAUUCAAAGAGGAAGUUAAUUCAAUAAGAUUAUGUACAUGCACAUAAAGUGUGUCAAAUGUCCAAGAAUGCGGAGAUAUGCGCAUACAUAUACAGAAAUUGCAUUUAGAUGACCAUAAGAACAUGUCUAUGAAGUCCCUUAAGCAAACUUGUCAGAGAAGACACAGACUCUGUGUAAACAGCUGGAAAGAUAGUUAAGACCAAAUGUUUUUUCGUACUGUCAUGUUACAAAAAACUUAAGAAUCUCUUCAUAAUCCAGAUUUUCUCUUGGAUUCUCCAGCUGCCGAGUCUAGUUGUUUUAUGUAUUUUUUAUAAUAUGAAUUGCUCUCAUGCAAAGGCAUAGUUUUAAUUCAUUUAGAACAAAAUCUCUCCCUCUUCUCUUUAUGAUGGGGGAAAAAACUUCAGCACAGCAGGCUGUUCUUUUCAGCACCUCCUGUUGGGUGCACUUAGACUGGUCUCUUCAAAUAUAUCCCAUAAUUUAACCCACAGCGGUGGCUGAAUUAGAGAUCAAUAAGUCCCUCAUAACAGCUUCUGCUGGAUGAGAUGUAAACCAGCCACUGUCUUUCUACCUUAUUCUCUCUAUCAUUCCAUCAGCACUCAGCGCUGAGUACAAGGCUUUGAUCAAACUAGUAGUUUCCCUUCCAGACAUCACCAUGAUCCAUAUCCAACUAUCCUUCAGCAGGGCAGGCUCCGACACCCCUUAUAAGUAGCUUUGUAUUUGCAGAAUUGUGGCAAGUACAGGCUGGAUAAGAACUUGCAUAUGUUUAAUAAAAUCUAAAUAACUGAGCAAGUCCUGGAUCUAGUUUAGUUUACAGACUGGCUAUUCCCAAUCCUAUAUACCCUUCCUUAUUGCCUCUCCUGACAUCCUGAUCAAGAGAAGCAAUCCGAUCACUUACAUUUCUGAUACUAAAGCAAGUCACAAACAAACAAAAUAAUCAGAUAUAAUAAUAAUAAUAGUCAGACAGGUAUAACCUUACCUGUCUAUGAAAGGCAGCCACAUCUGGAGUGCAGUAUAGCAAAUGUUCAGAGCAUGGCAAAACUGCAGUCCAGUGUGUCUGCAAGGGAAAGGAAGAAUUCGAUUAACGUGUUGUCCUGUACCAACUCUAAAUCAAUUAACAGAUUUUAUUUUUAAAUAGGUACAUCUGUAGUUUUACAGCUUAUGUAUGAAAGCAGGCUAGGAGUGAGAGGACUUGUCUGAUAUUAACAGCAAGCAAUCCAAUAGUAGCUAAAAGUAGAAUCUAGAAUUAAGCAACACUGCACUGUCUGUAUUUCCAGCACCUCUGCUCAGUUAUGCUUAAGAGAACAAUGAGAUCUUUAACAAGCAGAGAUGGCCAGGAGGUCACCCAAUUGGGCCUGCAGAAACUGGUAUAACUAAUAACCAACACAAGUUUCCAUGGUGAGGAUUAUAACAUAGCCACCUCCUCUGACAUGAGCAGAUCUCUGCCCUGCUGAUAGGCACAAAGCCUACCUGCACCUGAGACCAGGGCAUGGCAGCAGAUUUCGAGGUGCCAGUGUACUCUACAUGUGUUCUCGUUCUUGGAGAAAAUGUUCAUGAUUAUUUCAUUUUGUGGCAGUAAUGGAAAAUACAUUUUAGUGCUUGUGUCCUGCAUUUGCAAUUCAUGUUCCCAUACAUGAUUACAUUAAGUCUGUGUUCUGUCAUUUUUGAUGAAUGUAGCUUGUUUUCUGUAAAAAACAGACUCUGGGAUGGAAAGUGACAGAAGUGAAGCUGUAACAAAGGAUGAUCAAUUUUUUAUGGCCAGCACCAAAUGCAGGGAAAGUCGCUGAAUGUCUCUCUGAAGUUGGGACUCUUCAGUCAUGGGCUGAAGUAUGACCCAUUCCUGUCACCAUACUGUUUCUGGCAGUCACAGGGCAGCAGUGGCUAAUACUGCUUUCUUCUUUUGCCAGAGUUGAUAGCUUUUCAUUAACAGGUCAGUGUGGCUGAGAGCAAUUUGGCCUCUGCAAACAAAUGUACACAGGUAAAGAGUGAGCAGCAAAGCAGGCAGCAGUGGGUCAGUUUGAUUCACUUAUUAGCACAGUAACAUCUCUGAUCCUCUGGUGUGUCGUGCUGAAAAACUAGCAGAGACCCCGGUCUCUCCCAAAGUCAAAAAGCAAAGAAAAAGGAGGAGAAGAAAGGCAUGAAGAAGGGAAGUGAUUUGCUCAAAGAUAACUGUUGGAGGCUCCAUUGGAGAGUAUGAGGAGAGCUGGACUAAAGGUGACAACCCAAAGGACUUACUCAACAGUGACUUCAGACUCGAAAACCAGAGUAAUGCAUAGGCUGGAGCUUUUAGCUGAUCUUAUUCAGACUGAGACCUCAAAUAAAAAAUAUUGAUCCCAUGUA